GAUGAACGCUAGCUACAGGCUUAACACAUGCAAGUCGAGGGGUAACGAGAGGAAAGCUUGCUUUCCUUGUCGACGACCGGCGCACGGGUGAGUAACGCGUAUCCAACCUGCCCCCAACUAGGGAAUAACCUUGCGAAAGUAAGACUAAUACCCUAUAAUUUCCUCAGAUGUCAUCUGACGAGGAAUAAAGAUUUAUCGGUUGUGGAUGGGGAUGCGUCUGAUUAGCUUGUUGGCGGGGUAACGGCCCACCAAGGCAACGAUCAGUAGGGGUUCUGGAAGGAAGGUCCCCCACAUUGGAACUGAGACACGGUCCAAACUCCUACGGGAGGCAGCAGUGAGGAAUAUUGGUCAAUGGGCGGAAGCCUGAACCAGCCAAGUAGCGUGCAGGAUGACGGCCCUAUGGGUUGUAAACUGCUUUUAUACAGGAAUAAAGUUAGCCACGUGUGGUUAUUUGUAGGUACUGUAUGAAUAGGACCGGCUAAUUCCGUGCCAGCCGCCGCAGUAA
rnacentral:rRNA from 1 species